UUUCCCUUCAAACUUAACUCCGGACUAAGAAGAUGACAGGAAGCGAAAGUACCUGCCAGGACAAACAGAUGGUUCCCAGGCUCUCCCUGCUUGAUGACGUACUCUCCCUGCUGAACGUGCUCAUGUCUAGAUUGGAAAUCCCUGGAUUGAUUUGAGUUGAAAACCACCUUUGUGUGGCUCUUAGCCUGAUUGAUGAUGUGAGGAUCUAUUCAAAGCCCCAUCCCGAGAAGCACUUCCCACAAUUUAAACAGCUGGAUUUCCUGGAAAUGUCCUGCGGUGUUCACACUACCAAGAAUAAGGUGUCAUCCUUUCUCACCACGGGCGAGUAUCUAUGGACACAUGAAUAAACAACUGUUCAACUCUACUCCUUUCCCCCAACAUUUAUUUGUGGCAACGUGUGCGCCCGGGGCAUCAACGCUUCCCUGAGAACGAUUCAGUCAGAGGACUGUUGUUGGUCAGGCUUUGCACACCAUGAGUGCACAUGCUUGCAUGACAUUUCAGUUUAUCUUCAUGAUAUUCGGAUACUAUUGCUUUGUCAGUACAAAACAUGCUGUAUUGUAAACCCAACCCAUCUUUCUCAACGAAAUUAUUAAGUCAACAAGUUUUUUCGAUCGUCUUGAUAACAUCUCAUAAACUACAUUUCCCGCAAGGUCUAAGGACACAGAGGCAGGUACUGGAUACGCAGGGGAACUCCUGGAAAGAUUAUUUAAAAACAGACUUAAAAUAGACUCGUUUGGAAAAGAAAUUGAAAGUAAAGUGUGCAUUAUUGCGUAAUUCACCCACAGGGUGCCAAUGGUUUCUCUUUAUCUAGUUCAAAUCUAUUUGCCAGUAAAGAUAAUGUUUAAUUUUGGUCUUAACUGACUAGCAGCAAAUAGUAGCUCUCUCUCUCUCUCUCUUUUUUUUUGUUUUUGGUUAAAUGUACCAAGCAUGGUAUUAUCUCAGGUAAAAGUUCCUGGGAAUCUUCACUUAAUGUCCGUUUCCCUCGAAGCCAGAAUCAAUUUCAACUAUCAAAAAUGUCCACAGAGGUUUGGUGUUAACGCCAGCUGCAGCCAAGCUAGUGUGAAAUCAAAAGAUGUUUGCACGACCGUCAAAACACAGCGUGUGUGUCUAUGAGUGCUUGUUCUGCUGUCGACCCUAGGUAAGUUUCCAUGGGGGUGGGUGGGGGAUCUGGAAAGCUGUAAAUGUGUCCAAGUGUCAUGUGAGGUUGAAUUGAUUUCUAGAUUAAGUCAGGAUCAAUACUUGUCCUCGCACCAUCAAUGAGUCAUGUGGAGCCUGAUUAAAAAAGUGGAGGUGCGUGUUUUUCUUGUCUUGAGUGCUAAAGAGGGGGCGGGGGAGGGUGGGGGUGUUUAUCUUCUUCAUCACUAUCUGGUCCUGACAAGCUGCUGCUGCAACAACUAAAACAUCCAAAAAUACACACACUUAGUUUGUGUGUGCCACUUUCCCGAGCAAAAGGAAUGACUCAAACAAUCAGCACGUGCACUGAAAGAACCCAGCCUGAUGAGGACUACUAUAAUUAAUUGUUCAGACCAAAGAAAAUUUAACUGGGAACAUGAGACGGGGACAUGGAAGGACAGGAACACGUGUUAUGAAGCCCAGUAAACUUGAUUCUAGCAGACAAAGACGAAUCAUCAUGGGAUCUUCUUUUUUAAUAAUCAUCAUGGGGGAACCAUCUUUCAGUGGAUCC